rnacentral:rRNA from 1 species
AUUGAACGCUGGCGGCAGGCCUAACACAUGCAAGUCGAGCGGAUGAAGGGAGCUUGCUCCUGGAUUCAGCGGCGGACGGGUGAGUAAUGCCUAGGAAUCUGCCUGGUAGUGGGGGCUAACGUCCGGAAACGGGCGCUAAUACCGCAUACGUCCUGAGGGAGAAAGUGGGGGAUCUUCGGACCUCACGCUAUCAGAUGAGCCUAGGUCGGAUUAGCUAGUUGGUGGGGUAACGGCCUACCAAGGCGACGAUCCGUAACUGGUCUGAGAGGAUGAUCAGUCACACCGGAGCUGAGGCACGGCCCAGACGCCUACGGGAGGCAGCAGUGGGGAAUAUUGUUCCAUGGGCGAAGGCCUGAUCAAGCCAUGCCGCGUGUGUGAAGAAGGUCUUCGGAUUGUAAAGCACUUUAAUUUGGGAGGAAGGACAGUAAGUUCAUACCUUGCUGUUUUGACGUUACCAACAGAAUAAGCACCGGCUAACUUCGUG